GACGAACGCUGGCGGCGUGCCUAAUACAUGCAAGUUGAGCGAUGAAGAUUGGUGCUUGCACCAAUUUGAAGAGCAGCGAACGGGUGAGUAACGCGUGGGGAAUCUGCCUUUGAGCGGGGGACAACAUUUGGAAACGAAUGCUAAUACCGCAUAACAACUCUAAACAUAAGUUUUAAGUUUGAAAGAUGCAAUUGCAUCACUCAAAGAUGAUCCCGCGUUGUAUUAGCUAGUUGGUGAGGUAAAGGCUCACCAAGGCGAUGAUACAUAGCCGACCUGAGAGGGUGAUCGGCCACAUUGGGACUGAGACACGGCCCAAACUCCUACGGGAGGCAGCAGUAGGGAAUCUUCGGCAAUGGACGAAAGUCUGACCGAGCAACGCCGCGUGAGUGAAGAAGGUUUUCGGAUCGUAAAACUCUGUUGGUAGAGAAGAACGUUGGUGAGAGUGGAAAGCUCAUCAAGUGACGGUAACUACCCAGAAAGGGACGGCUAACUACGUG
rnacentral:rRNA from 1 species